UAACCCUGGUUAAGGAACUCUGCAAACUAGCACCGUAUCUUCGGUAUAAGGUGUGCCUACUUUGGUAUAUGGACUUGCUCCAAAAAGCUAGAGAGGUUGCAACAAAGAGUCCCUCCCGACUGUUUACCAAAAACACAGCACUUUGCUAACACGUAAGUGGAUGUAUAAGGUGUGACGCCUGCCCGGUGCUCGAAGGUUAACUGAUGAUGUCAGCGCAAGCGAAGCAUUUGAUUGAAGCCCGAGUAAACGGCGGCCGUAACAAUAACGGUCCUAAGGUAGCGAAAUUCCUUGUCGGUUAAAUACCGACCUGCAUGAAUGGCGUAACGAGAUGGGAGCUGUCUCAACCAGGGAUCCAGUGAAAUUGUAGUGGAGGUGAAAAUUCCUCCUACCCGCGGAAAGACGGAAAGACCCCGUGCACCUUUACUACAGCUUGACACUGUAGCUUGGAUAUUCAUGUGCAGGAUAGGUGGGAGGCUAUGAUGCUAGGACGCAAGUACUAGCGGAGCCAUCCUUGAGAUACCACCCUUGAAUAUUUGAGUUACUAACUGCGUACAAUUAUCUUGUAUCAGGACAAUGUCUGGUGGGUAGUUUGACUGGGGCGGUCGCCUCCUAAAAGUAACGGAGGCUUACAAAGGUUAGUUCAUGGCGGAUGGAAGUCGCCAGUUGAGUAUAAUGGCAUAAACUAGCUUGACUGUGAGACAUACAAGUCGAACAGAGACGAAAGUCGGUCAUAGUGAUCCGGUGGUUCUGUGUGGAAGGGCCAUCGCUCAAAGGAUAAAAGGUACGCCGGGGAUAACAGGCUGAUCUCCCCCAAGAGCUCACAUCGACGGGGAGGUUUGGCACCUCGAUGUCGGCUCAUCGCAUCCUGGGGCUGGAGUAGGUCCCAAGGGUAUGGCUGUUCGCCAUUUAAAGCGGUACGCGAGCUGGGUUCAGAACGUCGUGAGACAGUUCGGUCCCUAUCUUCCGUGGGCGUAGGAAAGUUGAAGAGAUUUGUCCCUAGUACGAGAGGACCGGGAUGAACGUACCACUGGUGUACCAAUUGUUCUGCCAAGAGCAUCGUUGGGUAGCUACGUACGGAUGUGAUAAGAGCUGAAAGCAUCUAAGCUCGAAGCCAACUCUAAGAUUAACUUUCCCUGAAGUUCCCAGCAAGACUAGCUGGUUGAUAGGCUGGAUGUGUAAGCGUUGUAAGGCGUUUAGCUGACCAGUACUAAUAGAACGUUUGGCCU
rnacentral:rRNA from 1 species